UCUCUGUCGGCUGAAGAAAGGAUUACAAUGAGCUGCUAGAUAAGGAAGAUAAUCCCUGUCGGCUGAGGCUGCAAGCACAAAUUAUUGAAGAUUUUGGCAUAAAGCCUACUAGACCAAUGUAAUGUAUCACAUGAUGGUGAAAUAUCUCAUGAACAAAUCACAAUUACACACUUGUUCAUGCUGUAUUGCACUGAUUAUUCCUCUACAACACAUGACAGCAUGCAUACUGUUCACUGAGUCACAUGAGUCUUUAUUGUGUAAUAUCCUCCCUCUACUAACCCUUCCGUACUAACUUUCUGCUUCUCUCAGCCAGCCUCUUAAGAAUUCAGUUGCCUGUGGUGCCUUGUUGUAAAUUAGAGCUAACUGGUGGGAAGUGACCACUGCUGGCACACAACAUCCCUGGAAGUCUCAAGCAGGAUUUGGGAAACUUGAAGACACAUCUGCAGCACAGAAGGCCAACAGGAGCUCACGUCCUCCAGAAUCUUUUCUCUGCUGAAGACUAGGAUGGCAGAUUGCGGGUCGUGUUUCUGGAGCAUCAUCUGGCUGGUUAUUCUGCUCUUCAUCGGCUGGCCACUUAGCAUCUUCCUCGGGGGGCUCUACGGUCUCUUCUGCCCACUCACCACCUGCCUCGGCCUGGACAGACUCACCGAUCUGCUCCUGGAGGGGGCCAACCUGGGCCGCACCUGUGCCAAUAACAUGAAGCACAGCAAGCCUUUGUGCUAAAAUCCACCCAGAAGCAGAGAUGGGAGGAGAGAUGGUUGCUUUCUUACUGAAAAACAUCCUUUCCUUUAAGGGAAACAGUUAAUAUGGUUUCAUGUGGAGAUGUCCUGAGAUGAUUGCCACUGCAUACAGCCAGGAACUUUUCAGCAAAUUAUGUAACAAAAAGUUCCAGAAGGUUUGCAAAAACGAUUCCAAGUGUUCUGUUAACAUGUAAUUAACCAUGGAUUUGAAAUUUGUAUGGGUAUGUCUGGAAGAAAAUAGGCUUUGUGUUCAUGGUCUGUGUUUGCUGUUUAAUUCAUGAUGACACUGCAUGCAGAAGAUAAGAAUGAAAAUGGCAUUUUAACAAUGGAAAUGCUUAGACUUGUAAAUGACUGUAUGGAAACUUUUAAUGCGAUUAAAUAGCUUUGAAGUUG